AGAUUGAACGCUGGCGGCAUGCCUAACACAUGCAAGUCGAACGGGAGUAGCAAUACUCUAGUGGCGGACGGGUGAGGAAUACGUAGGAAUUUGCCCUUAAGUGGGGGAUAACCCGGGGAAACCCGGAUUAAUACCGCAUGACCUCGAAAGAGCAAAGUGGGGGAUCGCAAGACCC
rnacentral:rRNA from 1 species